UACGGAAGGCAGCAGUGGGGAAUAUUGCACAAUGGGCGCAAGCCUGAUGCAGCCAUGCCGCGUGUAUGAAGAAGGCCUUCGGGUUGUAAAGUACUUUCAGUCGUGAGGAAGGUGUUAAGGUUAAUAACCUUAGCAAUUGACGUUAGCGACAGAAGAAGCACCGGCUAACUCCGUGCCAGCAGCCGCGGUAAUACGGAGGGUGCGAGCGUUAAUCGGAAUUACUGGGCGUAAAGGGCACGCAGGCGGUUAAUUAAGUUGGAUGUGAAAUCCCCGGGCUUAACCUGGGAAUGGCAUUCAAGACUGGUUAGCUAGAGUCUUGUAGAGGGGGUUAGAAUUCCAUGUGUAGCGGUGAAAUGCGUAGAGAUGUGGAGGAAUACCGGUGGCGAAGGCGGCCCCUGGACAAAGCUGACGCUCA
rnacentral:rRNA from 1 species